GCCCAGGUGGCGGAAUUGGUAGACGCACUACCUUGAGGUGGUAGCGGCUUCGGUCGUGGGGGUUCGAGUCCCCCCUUGGGCACCA
rnacentral:tRNA from 17 species